UCAGGUAGGGAUACCCGCUGA
rnacentral:rRNA from 1 species